GCAGGAAUGAAAAAGAUGCCAACAUACCUGUAAUCCAGUGUCCCAUAAGCUUGAUUCGAUUUUCUGGCAGCUACCAAGAAGAGCAAAUGCACGAUUCACAAGUUUCGUUUCGCCAUUUUCAAGCAAUCCCACGUGACCUCCUUUGGAUCAGUGAAAAGUGAAAAUUACUCGCGUCAUGAACAUAUAUGUUCAUCUCAGCGCAAAUCACGUUUCGCAUGCUAUAGAAGGAGGGGGGAUCAAUACUCUUCCUUUCGUGUUUUGAUAUCUUGUUGUUUUGCUACUCUCACUUCGGAGUUCGGAUGGUGUCUAGCAACGUUGGGUACCUCGUUUCUUGUGUGUGUGAGCGAGUGGUUGCUGUUUACGAUGUGUUCAUAUAUCGCUUUGUAGUGCUGUAAUGUGCAAAUUAGCGGACUUUAUAGCGGCUCUCUAUUUUCCGUCGUUGUCUUUCGAGCAGCGCCUGUUGUUCCGGUAAAAAUCGAGUUGAAUGAAUCGCCACAGCCCCAACGUAUAUCGCGCAGUGUUGACCAAGACCAAGUCAAGCAGGAAUUCUGGCAUGGUAUGUGGCUGCACGAAGGAUUCCGGAAAAGAAAAACAACAACAGGGCUAAUAGGAUGUUGCUGCCCAGGGAGUCCUGGCGAAGAGGUUUACUCAUUCCAGAAGCAAGAAUUGUAUCAUUGUAAGGCGAAUGGAAAUAAACUGACAUCGACUGAGAUAGGUGCUCUGUCAUGGCCAAUGACUGUCGGAUGGCUCCAAAAGCGUCACAACAAAGCCAAUAUUCAUCUAGCUCUCUACAAGUAGCUAACUCCACAUAGUAGCCUGCUUCACAGCCUACACUAGCUUGUGGGAGUACACAUUACACAAUAUGUUGCAUUGUGCUGUGGUAUGAUAACAUACCGUUUGUCUCGCAAUAUGUGUAUAUAAAUAUGAUAAGGGCCCUAAGGGCACAGUGCAUGGCUUAUACCCUGCUGAAUAUAUAUCCAUACCUGGCUGCGACAUUGCAUAUCAAUGCAGGUUACAAUACACAUUUUGACAUUUGGCCGUUAUGAGACAUCUUCGGCCGUAAUGAGACUGCCUUCGGCCGUAUUGAGACUUUGGCCGUAAUGAGACACUUGGGGAUUAAAGG